AAAAAAAACGCUUUACAAUUAUAAGCCCUUUUUCGGAUUCAUAAAUCUACAUAAGGAACACUCAGCUGCAAAUAUUUGAGGGUCAAGAAUGUACAAGUACUUAAAUGCGUAAAUAUUAUUGGACCACUCAGAAUUUAACCCUGUUCUGCUGUAUGCAGACAAUCCUUUAUAAACGAUUGUUGAUUGUGAUGUAGAAAUUCCUCGGGGCAAAUGUAUUUCUAUCCGCAAACUUGUUUGUACCUUCAUUCGUUUGUAUUGAAAAACGUUAACCGUAAUAAUUAAUUACAAAAACAUUGUGUAGUGAUACAACAUCUUGUCAACAGGAAACUUGUGUAGUGUUAUGACACACAAAAAUAUAAAUGUAAACAAUUUGUAACAUCUGGACAUUUCAUAAUAAAAGGUUUGUUUUCAUGUACUCAAUCUUUCAUAUGUAUACCACAUUAGUUUCUCAAGGUAUUUAAACUUGAUCGCAGUAUUUUUAGUUUUUAUUAUACAUGUUAUACUCUUUUGUUCUAGAACAUUUGCUUUUUCUUAGUUUCAAAUAUUCGGUUUUUAUCACAAUCAAUGAGACAUAUAUUUAACUUCACACAUACAGAUCAUAACAUGAGCAAAUAAGAUCAAAUAAGCUGUCGUAGCUGGUAUUGUUGCACUGCUACCGGAAAUGAUGCCGCAUCUGGUGGACUACAGUGGCUGCAGUUUGUUGCUGUGAUACAUAUUUGUUUUUCAUUCAUAAUUCUAUACAUAGACUAUGCCGUUAGGUUCUCGUUUGAUUUUAUUUUAAUUUGUCAUUUCGGGGUCUUUUAUAGCUGACUAUGUGGUAUGUGCUUUGCUCAUUUUGUAAGGUCGUACACCGACCUAUAAUUGCGUAUGUCCAUUUCAUUUGAACUUUGAUGGAUAGUCUUCUCAUUGGUGAUCAAACCACAUCCCCUUAUUUGAACACAAUUCAAAUAUUGACCCAUAUACUCCGUAACAAAUGCAUCUUAAUGACUUAUUAUUGCUAUGGUGUUGCUCUUAAACCUGAGAUUGAUGCUAGAUCAAUUUUAAAUUGAUAGAAUGAUAUAUUUAGAUUAGUUAAAUUUUAAGGUUAAUCUCCGAUAUGUCUGAGCUUUAUGCUAUUUUUUUGGUAGGGAGGGGGGUACAACCACUUAUAAGGAAUGGUCAUUGAAAUGGUGAAGGAAUAUUGCCAUUUAGGAGGGUCUGGAUGGGGGGUCUGUUAUUCUGUAAACAUUCAAUUUUCACCCCUUUUUUCUCUAAUCUUCAAAAAAUUAACCCCUUUUUUCUCUAAUCUUGAUUUUUUUUGCCCGUUAUUCUCUAAUCUUCAUUUUUUAAGGGCAUUAUUCUUUAAUCAUUUAACCCCCAUCCAAACCCUUAUUUAGUAUAUCAGAUAACACAGGGAAACCCAAAUAUACUAAACUUCCAGACAAAGUCUUGGAAACACGCCAACAUAACAACAGAUUUACAAUAGGAUAUAGAAAUUAAAAAAAAGUAUAUUUUUAUGUACCUUUACUUUGAACUGAUACAAUAAUACAUUUUCUGAUAUUAUGCUGUACAUGCCUAUCUAACACUUUAUCUUUACUUAGUACCUUUAUUGUGCUCGUGUUUUGUCCUAUGCCAAGUUAUUAUGAAGGUUUUGGCACUUAACUUGUUAAUCCUUCUUUAUGCUAUUCUAAUUUUGUAGUUUUCAUUGUUUGUUUCUGCUGAUAUUAGAAGUAAUAGUAGUGUGAAAUUUAACUAUUUUAUUGGCGCUGUUAACUUCACAACCUAUAGUUGCUAGAGUCAUAUGUGGAUGAAAUAUAUUUAAUGUGCCAGCAAAUUCUGAUCCUAUUCAAUCAUCGUUGAAUGAAUUGGAAAAGAAAUUACUUUGGUAUUCGUGAAUGAUGUUUCCUGGUUUUUUGCUACCUUUCCUUAUGUCUAAUAAUACUUUCAUUAAUUACUCCAGCGAUAAGACUCCUAUUCAAAUUAUUAAAAAGCACAAACCUAACAUUGCAACUUACUAUUUAUAUCUUUUACAAGAUCUGAGGAAAACAUGCUGCUUUUGUACUUGCUAACUGUAUUGUUAAUGGUUUCCUGGUCACUAGGGUGUUCCUGUGGGGUAGCAUCGCUUCAUCAGUACGUGUGUGGUUCUGAAUUUAGUAAGUACAGUUUUAACCAUCAUAAACUUUUAAGAAAAGUUACUUCUAAUUUAAUUUUAGUAUCCUGUCCUCCAGUACAGACAGUAGAUAUGAUUGCUUCGAUCAUUUAUACUGUUAAAUAAGAGAGAAGAAAGAUACAAAGAAUUGAAAAGAAACGCGAUCGGAAAUGACAACGUCAUGGCAGGAAAAAUGAAACCGAUCAAAAGAAAACCAAACAGUAUUCAAAACACAAUUUAGAAAACUAAAGACUUAGCAAAACCAACACCACCAAAACUGGGGUGUCUCAUGUGCUCGGUCAGUGUAGCAGAUUCUGCUCACAUGUGCAUUCGUUGUGUUGUUCGUACAAGUUCAAAACCUGGUUGAUAAGUUCUAAAUCGGUGGUCACAUUCGAGGAAAGAGGUUCGGAUUGGGAUAACGACAAUUGGAACAUUUUCGAGUCAUCUGUUGAAACAGAUUUACUUCAUAACGGUCAACAAACUGGUGAUGACGUCCGUAACAUUUUUGUUGGUAUGAUUUCACUUACCGCUUGGAACUUUUGGUUUUACUUCCUUGUGAGCAGAGAUCGUCUAUCAAUUAAUUUAUUAGUCCAUACAAUUUUUUUAAAGCAUUCAAUUAUCAUAAGGUCUUCUUUAAUCAACAAUAACUUGGAUUUUAUUUGCUGAUGCAAUAUAUGUUGUAUAUAACUUUCUCGUAUAUUGUUGUCCAUUUUCAGUAAUAGUAGGAAGAGUCCAAAGUUACUGCAUCCGAGACAACACAGAUGUAUACUAUGUGGUGAACGUUCUGGAUAUUUUAA
rnacentral:lncRNA from 1 species